CAUCUGCAUUUUCACCAACUUUUGACAUUUUCUUUUUAUCUGAAUUAAGUGAUGAUGCUUGCCUGUGAACACAACUCAUGUCAUCUGUGUUUGAAAGAGAAAGACCUGGAUCUAUCAGAGCAGAUGGUGAGCAUCAAACCAUCAGACCCUGCACGUCUGCGUCUGUCUCUUUCUGAUCGUCUGCUGGUUUUCAUCCGGAGCCCUGUUAAAAAGCUCAGGAUCUGCUCAUGGAUCACUGUGUCUCUGGAGAUCUGCUGACGUUGCUGAGUAAGUUUGGUGAUCGUAUCCCGGAGGAUGUGGCUCAGUUCUUCCUGGCUGAGAUGCUGAUGGCUUUCGAUUCAGUCCACAGACUAGGUUCUGUGCACAGGU